rnacentral:rRNA from 1 species
UGGGGAAUUUUGGACAAUGGGCGCAAGCCUGAUCCAGCCAUGCCGCGUGUCUGAAGAAGGCCUUCGGGUUGUAAAGGACUUUUGUCAGGGAAGAAAAGGAUAGGGUUAAUACCCCUGUCUGAUGACGGUACCUGAAGAAUAAGCACCGGCUAACUACGUGCCAGCAGCCGCGGUAAUACGUAGGGUGCGAGCGUUAAUCGGAAUUACUGGGCGUAAAGCGGGCGCAGACGGUUACUUAAGCAGGAUGUGAAAUCCCCGGGCUCAACCUGGGAACUGCGUUCUGAACUGGGUGACUAGAGUGUGUCAGAGGGAGGUAGAAUUCCACGUGUAGCAGUGAAAUGCGUAGAGAUGUGGAGGAAUACCGAUGGCGAAGGCAGCCUCCUGGGAUAACACUGACGUUCAUGCCCGAAAGCGUGGGUAGCAAACAGGAUUAGAUACCCUGGUAGUCCACGCCCUAAACGAUGUCGAUUAGCUGUUGGGCAGCUUGACUGCUUAGUAGCGAAGCUAACGCGUGAAAUCGACCGCCUGGGGAGUACNNGUCGCAAGAUUA